AAACAGCGUUUAAGGCCCUCCUUCCAGCUCUCAUGCCAACAUAAUAAAAAAUGAGAAAAUGAAUUGAAUUUUCGUGAAAGAUCAAAUGAAGGCAUAAAACAUUCAAUGGGACUCAGCCAUUUAGAGAAAGAUACACCAGAAGUCUUAUACGUUCCCCAACUGAAAUUGAAUUUUCUUUACGGAAGCAACCAUGUCUUUUAUUGUAGAGGCGUUUCUAGUUGAGUCCUUUAUGAUGUUGCUCCGAAAGUUGGCCUCUACUGAACUGUUACAGUUUGCAAAACAGGAGCAAAUCCAGGAAGAUCUCAAGAAGUGGGAGAUGAAAUUGAGGAAGAUGAAGGCGGUGCUUGAAGAUGCAGAGGAGAGGCAAGGGAAGAAUCCGGCAGUGAAGAUCUGGCUUGGAGAACUUCGAAACUUGGCUUACGACGUGGAAGACAUACUGGAUGAGUUUGCGACUGAAGCUUUGCGGAGGAAGUUGUUGCAUGAAUCGCAUCAUCAACAUCAACCCAGCACAAGUAAGUUACGGAAGCUAAUUCCUUCUUGCUUUAAUCCUCAGACUGUCAAGUUCAAUUCGAUGAUAAUGUCCCAAGUUAAGAAUAUCAGUACCAGAUUGGAUGACAUUGCUUCACAGAAAGAGCAAUUGGGUUUGAAAGAAUUUUCAGGAGGGAGGUCCAACAGUGUAAGACAAAGGCUGCCCACAACCUCUUUGGUGACUGAAACCAAUGUUUUUGGUAGAGAAAAAGAUCAGGAGGCAAUGGUUGAAUUGUUAUUGAGGAAUGAUUUAAGUGCUGACAAUAGAACAUUUUCUGUUAUUCCUAUAGUCGGGAUGGGUGGCUUGGGAAAGACAACGCUUGCUAAACUUGCCUACAAUGAUGUCAGAUUGGAAGGUCAUUUUGAUUUCAAAGCUUGGGUCUGUGUUUCUGAAAAAUUUAAUGUGACGGAGAUAACAAAAACAAUUCUAGAGUCCAUUCUUGGACAUAUUCCUGAUGUUAAUGAUCUUAACAAUCUUCAAGUGAGUUUGAAGGAGAAAUUGUUGAGAAAGAAAUUUUUGUUUGUUUUGGAUGAUAUAUGGACCGAGAAUGCUAGUGAUUGGUCUCUCUUACGCCUUCCCUUUGAAGUUGGCUCACCAGAAAGCAAGAUUAUCAUCACAACUCGUAAUGAAGUUAUUUCAACCAUGAUGGGUACUCUUCCAGCUUACUCAUUGAAAGAGUUAUCAGAUGAAGCUUGUUUGCGUAUAUUUACUCGUUACGCAUUGGGGACAACAGAUUUUAGUCUCCAUCAGCACUUGAAGGAAAUUGGUGAGAAGAUGGUAAAAAAAUGCAAUGGCUUACCUUUGGCAGCAGAAACUCUAGGCGGGCUAUUACGUGGGAAACCUAAUAGUGAGGAAUGGGAAAAGGUGCUAAACGGUAGAGUGUGGGAUUUACAAGAAGAGGAAAGCAACAUUAUACCAGCUUUGAAGGUAAGUUAUUACUUCCUUCCUUCACGUUUAAAAAGAUGCUUUGCAUACUGUUCUAUAUUCCCAAAGGAUUAUGAAUUUCUUAAAGAAGAGACCAUUUUGUUAUGGAUGGCUGAGGGUUUAUUACAGAAUAAUGAGAAGCAAAUGGAAGAUUUGGGCAAUGAGUUCUUUGAUGAUCUGAAAUCAAGGUCAUUUUUCAAGCAAUCAAGUAGAUAUAUGUCAAGGUUUGUGAUGCACGAUCUCAUCAAUGAUCUUGCUCAAUGGGCUGCAGGAGAGAUACGCUUUAGUAUUGACAAUAAGUUGGGUGGUAACAUAAAUUUCAAUGAUUCCUGCCCAAAUCUUCGUUAUUUAUCUUAUAUUUCUGAUCAGGUUGAAGGGGUUAAAAGGUUUGAAGGCUUGUGUGAAGCCAAGCGUUUGCGAGCGUUUUUACCAUUAGAGUUGCCAUACAUGACGUCAAGUUACUUGGCUUACGACGUUCUUCGCAUGGUGCUGAAACUCCCUCGUUUGAGGGCCUUGUCUUUGAGAAAUUAUUGGAUUUCUCAGCUGCCAAACUCAAUUGGUGAAUUGAAACAUCUACGGUACCUCAACCUAUCGGGUACGCAAAUUGAAAUUCUGCCCAAGUCAAUCACUACUCUUUACAAUUUACAGACGCUUUUAGUAGAGAACUGUUAUCAUCUGAAGAAACUGUGUGAAGACAUGGGGAACUUAACAAAUCUGCAUCAUCUAAAUAAUUCUGGUACACCUGCACUAGAGGAAAUGCCUUUAAGGAUUGGUAAUCUGACUGGGCUUUUAACACUGCCGAAUUUUGUUGUGGGCAAAGGCAGUGGCUCCGGGUUAGAAGAGUUGAAGAAUUUGACCCAUAUUAGGGAGAGGCUUUGCAUUUUUGGGUUGGAGAAUGUGAAUGCUAGGAUUGCCAUGAAAGCUGAUCUGAAUGGCAAGAGGGACCUUAAUGUGAUGGUACUAGAGUGGACUAGUAGCAUUGGUGAUCCGAGAGAUGCAAGAGAAGAAGAAAAAGUUCUUGACAUGUUACGACCACAUCAAGAUUUGAAAGAGUUCGUUAUUAGAGGCUAUGGUGGUGUUUCCUUUCCAUUCUGGUUAGAAGAUCCAUCAUUCUCGAAUUUAGCGUUUUUAACGCUUAAAAACUGUAACAGGUGUCAAAUGUUGCCAUCAGUUGGGGAACUGCCCUCUCUAAAGCACCUUGUUAUUAGAGGAAUGGCUAGAAUACAAAAUGUGGGGAAGCGGUUUUAUGGCUACUCAGAGGUGCCAUUUCCAUUACUGGAAACUCUUUGUUUUGUGGAUAUGGAAGGAUGGGAAGUCUGGAUCUCUCAUGAAGAGGAAGAAGCUAAAGCUUUUCCUCACCUCAGAGAACUUUCUAUUAAAAGGUGCUCUAAGCUGGAAGGAUUAUUGCCUAAAUAUCUUCCUUCUUUGGAAAAGCUUGUCAUUACAAGCUGUAAGAAAUUGGUCGUAUCAGUUGAAAGUCUUCCAAGACUGUGCAAAUUAGAAAUUGAUGAAUGUGAACAGAUGGUGUGGGGAAGUACAAUCGAUCUCAGCUCACUGAAAUCAGUGGUUCUUUCUCGUAUCUCGACUCACAUCUGUCCAACAGAGCGAUUUACGCAUGGGUUAUCAAAAGUAGAAGAAAUGGAGAUUGUUGGUUCUGAAGAGCUGACAUCUUUGUGGCAAACUACAGCUGAAUGGCUUCAAGAUAAUAGCUCCCUUUGUCGAUUGGAAAUUUGGCAAUGUCCUCUACUUCUGUGCAUGGUGGCAGAGGAAGAAGAACAACAACAACAAGAGCAGCCUGGGAUGCCUUGCAGACUAGAGUAUCUGGGAUUGAGUAAUUGUACACAGUUUGAAAAACUACCAAAAUCAUUGUGUAGCCUUAGUUUUCUUGAAGAAAUACGCAUCAGUUGCUGCCCAAAACUUGUUUCUUUUCCAGAGACAAGCAUCCCCCCCCAGCUAAGAAUUAUCGAAAUUGUAGAAUGCAAUGCACUGAAAUCGUUACCUGAGGCUUGGAUGAACAACAGCAAUAGAUAUCUUGAAAGCUUGUCCAUUGAAAAGUGUGAAUCUUUGACAUAUAUCACCAAAUUUAGACUUCCGUUGAAUCUGAAGUGGCUAAAUAUCGGACAUUGCAAUAAUUUAUGGACGUUGAUCUAUGAGGACAGUGGAACCCAUAGCAACACCUCUGUUCUAGGGUCCUUGGCAGUCAACUUUUGUCGAUCUCUCACAUCCUUGUGGUUAAGAAGUGAGUUACCAGAUACACUUGAAGACAUUGAGCUUUGGGGUUGCUCAAGUCUUGCUUCCUUGUCAUCAGGAGGCAAUCUACCUAUGGCUCUGAAAUCCCUAACUGUUCACCAGUGUUCCAAGCUAGAGUCGAUUGCAGAAAGAUUGCAGAAUCUCACAUCUCUUGAACAUAUCAAAAUUUCUUCUUGUGAUAAUCUUAAAUGUUUUCCUCAGGAUCUUCACAAGCUACGCCAUCUUCAAAAGAUGACCAUAUCUGAUUGUCCAAAUCUUGUUUCCUUUCCAGAAGGAGGCUUGCCUCUCAGGAACCUGACAUCACUCCUCAUAGACAGCUGUGAGAAACUGAAGGCCCUGCCCAACCAGAUACACAAACUCACUGCACUUAAACAUUUAUCAAUAAAAAAUUGUCCGAGCAUGGCCGUGUUCCCUGUCCAUGGCCUUCCUAUCAGCCUUGCAUCACUUGAAAUUGAAGAUUUAAACAUCGUUAAACCACUGUUUGAUUGGGGGCUUUACAGACUCACUUCACUUAAAGAUCUCAGUAUUGACAAGGGAUGCCCAGAAGUGGUGUCAUUUCCGCAAGAAGAGACUGGAAUGAUGCUUCCUACCUCCCUAACCCGUUUGAAAAUUCGAAAUUUUCCGAACCUGGAAUGCCUGUCAUCUGAUAUUCGGAAUCUGACUUGCCUGGAAAAACUCUCCCUUUUUGCAUGUCCUAAGCUCAAAUUUCUUCCUAAGGAUUGCCUGCCUUCCUCUUUUCUGCGACUGGAAAUUUGUGAUUGUCCAUUGCUCAAACAAAUGUGGGAAAAGCAUGGUGGAAUAACUUGUUGGCCAAUGAUUGCACGCAUACCUUACGUCGAGAUUGAGGAUGAGUUCAAGGAGUACAGACCCCAGGGUCAAGAUUGAUCUCCCACAAUUUGGUCCCGAGAAGACAACAUCUUGGCCAUUUUCAAAUGUUGCCAUCGGUCGGGAAACUGCCUUUUCCAAAGCACCUUGUUAUCAAAGGAAUAGCUAGUAUACAAAGUGUGGGGAAGGAGCUUUAUGGCUACUCAGAGGUGCCAUUUCCAUUACUGGAAACUAUUUGUUUUUGGGGUAUGAAAGGAUGGGAAGUUUGGAUCCCUCAUGAAGAGGAAGAAGCUAAAGCUUUUCCUCACCUCAGAGAACUUUCUAUUAAAUUGUGCUCGAAGCUGGAAGGAUUAUUACCCAAAUAUCUUCCUUCUUUGGAAAAGCUUGUCAUUAGAAGCUGUGAGAAGUUGGUCGUAUCAAUUGAAAGUCUUCCAAGACUCUGCAAAUUAGACAUUGUUGGAUGUGAACAGAUGAUGUGGGGAAGUACAAUCGAUCUCAGCUCACUGAAAUCAGUGGUUCUUUGGGAUAUCUCAACUCACAUCUGUUCAACAGAGAUAUUCACAUACGGGUUAUUAAAAGUAGAAGAAAUGGUGAUUUAUGGUUCUAAAGAGCUGACAUCUUUGUGCCAAAGUACAGCUGAAUGGCUUCAAGAUAAUAGCUCCCUUUGUCGAUUGGAAAUUUGGCAAUGUCCCCAACUUCCGUGCGGGGUGGCAGAGGAAGAAGAAGAAGAAGGACAAGAACAGCUUGGGAUGCCUUGCAGACUUGAGUAUCUGGAAUUGAAUCAAUGCGAGCGCUUUGAAAAGCUACCAAAAUCAUUGUGCGGCCUUAGUUUUCUUGAAGAAAUAUGCAUCACAGACUGCCCAAAACUUGUUUCUUUUCCAGAGACAAGCAUGCCUCCCCAGCUAAGAAUCAUCGAAAUUGAAGAAUGCAAUGCACUGAAAUCGUUACCUGAGGCUUGGAUGAACAACAGCAAUACAUAUCUUGAAAGCUUGUCCAUUAAAAAGUGUGGAUCUUUGACAUAUAUCACAAAUUUGGGCUUCCAUUGAAUCUGAAGUGGCUAAAUAUCGGACAUUGCAAUAAUUUAUGGACUUUGAUCGAUGAGGACAGUGGGACCCAUAGCAACACCUCUCUUCUACAGUUCUUGGUAGUCAACUCUUGUCGAUCUCUCACAUCCUUGUGGUCAAGAAGUGAGUUACCUGAUACGCUUGAACACAUUAAGCUUUGGCGUUGCUAUAGUCUUGCUUCCUUGUCAUCAGGAGGCAAUCUACCUAUGGCUCUGAAAUCCCUAAUUGUUUACGAGUGUACCGAGCUAGAAUCGAUUGCAGAAUCUCACAUCUCUUUAACAUAUCAAAAUUUCUUUUGGUUAUAAUCUUAAUUGUUUUCCUCAGGAUCUUCACAAGCUACGCCAUCUUCAAAAGAUGACUAUACCUGAUUGUCCAAAGCUUGUUUCCUUUCCUGAAGAAGGCUUGCCUCUCGGGAACCUGACAUCGCUCUGCAUAGACAGCUGUAAGAAACUGAAGGCCCUACCUAACCGGAUACACAAACUCACUGCUCUUAAACAUUUAUCAAUAAAAAAUUGUCCGAGCAUGGCCAUGUUCCCUGUCCAUGGCUUUCCUAUCAGCCUUGCAUCACUUGAAAUUCAAGAUUUGAACAUCUUUAAACCACUGUUUGAUUGGGGGCUCUACAGACUCACUUCUCUUAGAAAUCUCAGUAUUGGCAAGGGAUGCCCAGAAGUGGUGUCAUUUCCACAAGAAGAGAGUGGGAUGAUGCUUCCUACCUCCCUAACCCAUUUGAAAAUUCAAAAUUUUCUGAAUCUGGAACGCCUGUCAUCUGAUAUUCAGAAUCUGACUUGCCUGGAAAAACUCUGCCUUUUUGCAUGUCCUAAGCUCAAAUUUCUUCCUGAGGAUUGCCUGCCUUUCUCUCUUCUGCAACUGCAAAUUUGUGAUUGUCCAUUGCUCAAACAAAUAUGGGAAAAGCAUGGAGGACAAAAUUAUUGGCCAAUGAUCGCACGCAUACCUUUGGUCAUAAUUGAUUGCCUUAUCAUGAAGUACAGACCCCAUGAUCAAGAUUGAUCUUCAACAAUUUGUUCCUGAGAAGACAGCAUCUUGGCCCUUUUCAAAUCCGUCAGUAGAAAAAGGUCCUUGCACGGAAUCAUUUUCUGUUGUUUGAUGUUUCUCCAUUGUGUAAUGAUUGGCAGAGAGGAGGUAUUUUUCAUGUGUUUUUUUUUUUGUUUUGUCACUGUUAGAAUUGACUACUAUUUUGUUUUUGAUACGUUUAUGGGAUCACAAUGUAGACACAUGUAACUAGUGCAGAGAAAACUCUCUAAGAUUGUGUCCCAAAGCUACUUUCAAUUCGAAACUUCUUAAUAUUUAUUUCA